UCCCUUCCUCCCCUGCCUUUCCUGCCUCCCCUGGCCCCGUUCUCCCUCCUCUCAGCGGCGCCGGCUCCGGGGCGCUUUUUGGAGGGGGAGGCCAGGCGGUGAAUUCCAGCCGGAGCCCCCGCGGGCUGGCCGCGCUCUGCUAUUCUUUCAGGGCUCCAGCCUUACUCUCUCUGCAGGAAACAGAGGAGCUGAUCCAAGUUCAAAGUCACGUCGCCGUCCCUCCUAAGAAGUGCUUUAUUUCCCUCCGAACCGCAAAACCCCUUUCCCCCCCAUGUCACCGGGUUUCUGGAGGUGCCAGCCCUGCAGAGCAAACCUCAGCCUUCCCGGGAAAGCACUCCCCUCCUUGGGUUGGCCCCGUCCAAAACCAUGGCAGCCCGGGCAGCCGCCUUCUCUUCCCGGUGUCCUAAAAACGUGCGAAUUUCCACCCACUCAUAAAAAGAAAUUGAUCGGGGGGAUAUAUUUGAAUUAAGACGUAUUAAAUCGAUGACAGAUACACACCACGCUGCGUUUAACAGGAGCGGGACACGGAGGCAUGAGCAAGCAUCACCGAGACCCCCACCACGACCAGGCGAACCCUCGGCAGCAUCGGCUUGGCUCCGGGGGGCACCGACGGGUCCCCCAUCAGGGGAAAGGGGACCAGGGCUCCCCGCGGGGCUGGUUCCUGCCCUCCCGCCUCUGUCUCUCUUUUGGCCAAAUCCUGGGAGUUUUCCCCACGUGAGUAGAGGGGGAAAGGGAGGAGAGGAGGGCUGGAGCCCGGCCCGGGAAAUGCCGCACCAGCACGGGGCUUCCAUUGGACGUGGCUCGGCAAGGGACACGCAGAUGUGCUUUGCUCGAAGGAACAAGGUGGCCGGGGAGGGCCGGGAGGGGGUGUAUGUCCCCUGGCAUCCCCCGCCCCGUUUCUUCUCCUGCUGCCCCCCAGCACUGCACUUUCUUAAGGAGCGCCAGGCAUUCCCAGGAGGACCAGCAGACUAAGGAAAGUAGAUGACAUAUCAAU